rnacentral:rRNA from 1 species
AGUGAACGCUGGCGGUAGGCCUAACACAUGCAAGUCGAACGGCAGCACAGUAAGUGCUUCCUCUUACGGCUGCCGACUGGCGGACGGUUCCGGAAUACAUCCCUAUCUGCUUUUUCGUGGGUGAUAACGUAGGGAAACUUACGCUAAUACCCCAUACGACCUACGUGUGAAAUCUGCGGAUCUUCGGACCUUGCGCGAUUCAAUGAGCCGAUGUCGGAUUAGCUAGUUGGCGGGGUAAAGGCCCACCAAGGCGACGAUCCGUAGCUGGUCUGAGAGGAUGAUCAGCCACACUGGAACUGAGACACGGUCCAGACUCCUACGGGAGGCAGCAGUGGGGAAUAUUGGACAAUGGGCGCAAGCCUGAUCCAGCCAUACCGCGUGGGUGAAGAAGGCCUUCGGGUUGUAAAGCACUUUUGUUGGGAAAGAAAAGCAGCAGGUUAAUACCCCGCUGUUCUGACGGUACCCAAAGAAUAAGCACCGGCUAACUUCGUG